GAUGAACGCUGACGGAAUGCUUAACACAUGCAAGUCCACUUGGUGGCGGACGGGUGAGUAACGCGUAAAGAACUUGCCUCACAGCUAGGGACAACAUUUAGAAAUGAAUGCUAAUACCUGAUACUGUGAGAGAGCUUUGCGUCCCAUUAGCUAGUUGGUGAGGUAACAACUCAACAAGGCGAGGAUGGGUAGCCGGCCUGCGAGGGUGAACGGCAACGAGGGGACGUAGACACGGCCAUUACGCCUACGGGAGGCAGCAGUGGGGAAUAUGGGACAAUGGACCGAAGUAGGAUCCAGAAAUUCGGUGUGCACGAUGAAGUUUUUCGGAAUGUAAAGUGCUUUCAGUUGGGAAUCGGUACCAGCAGAAGAAGGGACGGCUAACUACGUGCCAGCAGCCGCGGUAAUAC
rnacentral:rRNA from 1 species